rnacentral:lncRNA from 8 species
UGACGGGGGGAUACUGAUCCCGUAGAGGAUAAUGCCCUUUUAGUGUAACACCAGAUCCCAAAUGAGUGCAUUUCACAAAUUGAAUCUGUUCACAUUGACAUUUUAUCAAGUGUUUUUAAUUGUGGAGGUGGAGCAUAAAAUAGGGAUAAGAUUACUUUCUAACUCAUUUAGAUUUUUUUUUAAUGAAAGUCUCUGUUAUAAUAUAUAUUCUAAUUCUAAUAGUCUGUUUAUCAAAACAUCAUGAACAUCCUCUGUUGUCUGUCUAGAAACGGUGCUGUUACAGAUACUGCUUGUGUUUGUCAUCAUGUGACUGCAUGGGAAGAUUAGAACAUGUCACCACCCUUUUCUUUAUGUUAGUUUAAUGUGAAAACAAGGUUCAUGUAAUUCUAAUUCUGAAGAUGAAUAAGAACAUUUAGGCAUUAGAGUAAAUACAUUGAAGCAAGGUGUUAGGUUGUGAACAGAGUAUGAACUCAAACGGAUGCAGAGAAAAGCUCAAACCAAGUUUAUUCAGCCCACUGAAUGCUGCAUCUGCAUAGCAUAGCUUGUACAUAACCAAUCAAUCAUUUAUUACAGUAUGUCAAGUUAAGGGUGUGACUUCUCAGAAAUGUUCAUCUGUUUCCCAGAACUGCCUGUUGGGCUGUUGUUGAGCGGCUGGUAUCACCCUUCUCCCAUUAUCCCCCACGUUGUUCCACCUCCACUUCUGGGAGGAACCAGGUGGGGCCACAGAGCAGACUCCCCCAUCUCAUCCCACCAACUCUGUCAGUCCAGCAGGCCCCACAAUGCAGCCUCCACACCACUGCAGUAACAGCCAUAUCUUCCCAUCACAAAGCUUCAGUACUGUCUCAAUGUGUUGAAGUACCAUCCAGGAUCCUGUGGCAACGUCAAUGUGAAACAGCAUUGACCCGUGAUCACCACCAACCAGGGCUCCACAGCGGUAUCCUUGGACACCCAGUGAAUCCAGAGAGAGCACACCAGGCAGCAUUGAGCACUUUGAUGAGAUUGGCUGUUCAGCAGGAAGAUUCAUCUGGCUACACAGAAGGGAUGAUGGCUCUGACCAAUAAAAUUAUAUUUUUGAAACUAUAUAACUGAAUAAACUAUGAUUUAACUAAAAACAUAUUUCUGUUUUGGUUAGUAAUUAUUGCCUUAUUUCACUGUAGAGCCUCUAGCCCUGCUGAAUACGCCUUAUUUAUCCAUCCUACAAGUGUUUAGCAGAUGUUAUUGCGGGUGUAGCAAAAUGCUUGUGUUUCUAGCUCCAUCAGUGCAGUAAUAUCUAACAAUACACACAAAUCUAAGUAUAGGAAUGGAAUUAAGAAUAUAUAAAUAAAUGGGCGAACAAUGUCAGAACGGCAUAGACUAAGACACAGUAGUAUAGUAUAGAAUACAGUAUAUACAUAUGAGAUGAGUAAUACAUAGACUAAGACACAGUAGUAUAGUAUAGAAUACAGUAU